rnacentral:lncRNA from 1 species
UGCUAUCACGUACAGACACCUAGCAACACAGAUGUGCCCUGGAGUUUAAAUAACCUUCCUGGGAGCUCCCUCUGUUGCUCCAUGGUCUAGGAAGUGGAAAAAUUGUCACCAGAGCCUAGGAAAUGUUACUGUUUUCUUCUCUUCCUCCCUCCUCUAUAGAAAGGGCAUCUACAAGGUGGAUCAGUGUUAAGGCAGGGCAGAAACAUAGGUAAUGGAAGCCAGUGAAGGUAUGUAACACUGGUAUGAAUUGUAUGGGAGGCAGCUCCCCUCCUCUGUCAGGGGAGAGGCCUGAGCAUGGGCCCUGGCAGAGGAAGGCAAGGACAGGAUGAUAUUGCUGAAGGGACUGGAGGAGGGGCUGUGCUCAUCACUUCAUGUGCAUCAUCCCAGUCAGCUAUCAUUAUCAUCCCAUUUCACAGCUGAGGAAGCCAAGGCUCAGGAAGAUGAAACAUCCUCUUUUUAAGUGAACCAAAGAGCUGAGAACUGAAGUGCCUGAAUCCAGAUUGUCUCAGCUUUUAUGCUGUAUUGCUUUUUUCCUGAAAACACUGGGACCAGCUAGUACAGGACCACACCCAGGAUCUCAUCCCUGGAAAGAUGAUAGACAUAUAUGUUUACAUAUGUGCAUAUAUAGGUACAUACAUAUGCACAUAUACAUUUAUGUAAAUACAUACAAUAUUUUUAAGUUAUAUUGCUCAAAUAUGUUAUUAAAUUGGGGGGCAUGCAUCCAGUUGCUCUGUUAUAGACUGAUGUGGCUUAUAAAAAUUGUGUUUCUGGAGUUCCCACUGAGGUACAGUGAGUUAAGAAUCCAACUUACCACAGCUUAGCUCACUGCAGAGGCACAGGUUCUAUUCCCAGCUCAGCGCCGUGGGUUAAAGAAUCUGGCAUCGCUGCAGCUGCGGCAUAGGUCAGAUCCAGUCCCUGGCCCAGGAACUUCCAUAUGCUUCAGAUACAGCCAUGAAAAAAAAAAUUGUAUUUCUGCCAUACCUCUUUUCAUUCUAAUGGCUUUUGCUCCAGAUCUUUUGUUGCUUUUUUCUUUGACACAGGACAGUUUGUUAUUGUUAUGGCAUUAGUUUUUUUCUUAUAUUUUUAAUAGAAGUGUUAUAUAGUACAUACACUGAUUAAACAAUAUAUAUCAAAAACUCACAGACACAGGCACAUACAUCCAAUGGUUUUUCCACAUCCCAUCCAUCACCCUUGUACUUGUGAUCUAUCACAGCUGUAUGUGCUCUUGACUAAGUGUGAGAAAAUCAUAUGCCAUCUUUACUCUGUAUGACACAUGAGAAAAUUAGUGAAUUCUGCUCUCUUUUAAAAUGUGGACACUCCUUAGUGUCUCUAAAGUCUGACUCAUUUGUUCAUUGAUCUUCAUUUUAAUGUUUUUUUUUUCAUCAAACCUUUCAAUAGUUCCGUUUUUUUUUUUGCAAUAAUGGUACCAUUGGGUGUGGGGAUGUACAAGGCAGGUUUUGCAUCCUGAUGUGAUCUCAUAAUGUCCCAUAACAUUUUUGUUAAAACUUAUUUACCAUCAUCAGACAGCAAGGGUGAAGAAUCUUUGAAUACGUGUUACAAUGCUCAGAAAACAGAAUCAAUCCAGGUAAUUAUUGGACCAGUCAAGAUGUCUAAAAUACCACGCUAAUUUCCAAAACACCAUUGGAUGAUGAUCUACAAAGUUUGCCACUGUUAUUGCAUGAUUGCCUUCUUUUCUAAAAAGCUUUCAAGUUCCUUCCAUACUAUUAAUGGACUAAGAUAUGGAACAGUUACAGGAUCUGGGCUUGAGAGGUCCUAUUCUAAUUCUAAAGACUCUGUAACUCCUUGGCAAGGAUCUGGUAGGCUGCUUGUAGGAAAGAGCUUGUAUCCUUUAGUAUCUUCCUAUCCAAGGAUCACGAGUACCAGCCAUCUUGGCCUUUGGAAAUAUUGGACAUAUUGACAUGACUGUUGUUGAUCUGGCAACAGGGAUCUGAAUACUUCAGACAUAUGAAUUUUCCUGCCAUUCAGAUGUGCUAUUCUAUCAAACUUCCCUUGAACAGAGGUAACAGGUAUGUGAAGACUAGAGGCUGAUGCCCAGAUGCAAGACUGCCUUGUCUGACUUGAAAAGAAAGAUGGAAAAAAAUGCAUAUUUUCUGAAAAUGGUCUUGACUUCAAAAAGUUAUCUUUGCAGACUCCCAGAAACAGUGUGCUUGGAAGACAAAAUCUGAAUUGCUGCAACACCAAAAGCAGUGGUGGUGGCAAUGGCCAGGCUCUCUUGGAAGUGAACUGUGGGCAGCCAACAUUAAAAAAGAGGCUGGAGGAGAGGGCUGUGAGCACGGUGAGAUGCUCUCAGACAACUCCUAGAAUAGACUGCGCACUUGGGGAAAGGGGCUGAGGGCCCUCCAGCCAGCACCACUGGGUUUAAAGAUAACAUAACCUCAUGUGUACUGUCUGAGAAGUCUUAGGAAAGCUCAGGUUAUAAAUGAAUAAUAACUUAAUAGUUUUGAAGGGAAUCCAUGUAAAACACUAAAAAUCACAUACUCUUUAGAAUUAUAUUCUGAUUGGGAGCUUUUGUAGAUUUGUCAAAACAUAGGGUAGCUCAGAGCAGGGGCAAACUUCCCAUUUCCUGUGUUUAUCGCCAUGGAAUCAAUCAUUUGAGGGGAUACUGAACACAGAGAGUUCACCUUGAAAGAUUAAAGUCCAGGAGAGAAAUAUGUUUGAUAAGAGAAAGAAGGAAAGCUGGCUGUCCCGCUGCCAGGCACUUCAAAGAGAAUUUACCUUGGUGAUUUAACCACACAGUCCAGGGUCUGGCCCUUUGUUUUUCAGGUUCAAAAACUGAGAAAAUUGGUUUUGUCAGCACACUGAGGUAAGAUCAGUUUAUCGGGCCCCCAGUCAUACUAACCAAGUUCACAAGAGACAGAUGUGUAAAUCAAAAUGCCAUUUUAUUAAUUUACAACGACAAGUAGAAUCGACCAGGAGAUCAGACACACACUCUGUUUCAAGCACAUUCUCUCCCUGUGGUGAAAUCUACGUGGGAAGUCAAAUUAUCAUCAGAAGACAGCCAGACAGCCUGGAAUCAGUGAGAAGAGGGAACUGGCUGUCUGAGUGGAAUGUUAAAGGAAGCUGGAUGCUUCAAUCUCCACCGAAGGGUUUUACCUAGAGAGGAUCAGAAUUCUAACGAUAGGUCACCACUCCAAGUACGGACCUAGGCCUUCCCAACUCCUUCUUUGUGGUGGUCACUGCUUUGUCCCAUGCUGGCCACACUUAUGGGCUGACAGGUUCACUCUCCACCUGGGUCAAUUUCACCGACUAGGUUACAGCCCCUGUCUCCCUCUUCUUUGAUCUUGCUUUCAUCCUGCCCACCUAAUGAGGCUGGAAAAUGGACUGUUGUCCUGGAGUGACCCUAACCCAGGGCUAGCAGUGCCUGUCGUAUUCCGCUGAGGUUAGGAAGCCUUAUAUAAUCACACAUUAUCAGUGUGUUGACCAAACAACCCCUCCAGGCUUUGCCUGUCAUCUUCCAGGCCAGUUCCAGCUGGGCAGAGGAGGCUAAAGAAUUGUUAACGAUGGGUGAUCAAUGCCUUUAUCUCAAAAUGGGAGGGAUGGGGGGAGCUACCUCUUCUCUGAAAACCACUGGCUGCCUGAAUUGAAUCCAGAGUAAGUUGCUCCUGGGAGCCAAGCUGAUGAGAGAGCACAGUCCUAGAAUUACUACCUCAUGCUGUGCCUCAGCCCUUGUGCAUAAAAUUUGAAAUGCUCAGGAUGAUAGCUGACACUUUUAUGGAAGGAAAGAAAUAGCCUAAAGGUAACAGCUCUGGGUUGGUUUGUGGGGAAAGUGACUGACGUUCAGGGCAUUCAUUGCUUUGGCUGCUGCCCUUUGGUCUAAUGUGUCUGUCUUCCCUUCCCUAGGCACCUCUCUUGCCAACUGAAUGAUCUGUGUGAGCCUCCACUUCACUAAAAUAUAUUAAUAGAUAACACUUACUGAGAGCUCGUCAUUUGCCAAACUCUUUUCUAAGUCCUUUACGUAUUAAUUCAUUGACUUCAUAACUAUCCAGUGGCAUUUGGUACUAUUUUUAUCUUCCUGUUUCAGAUGAAAAAAUGAGCCAGAAGAGUCAAGUAACUUGCCCACUGUCAUUAGUUAAUAAAUGGCAGAUUUAGACUCCCAAACCUGUCAGUCUGAUUCCUGAGCCUGUCUCUUUUACCUGCAGCAUGCAGUGGAGCUAAAAUGGUUUCUCUGAAUGUAUUCAGACCUCCCCAUAGAAUUGUUUAAGUUUUAGCAGCCUGGACUAGCUCUUACUGAGUUUCCAGGAAUCUGCUUAAAAAUUGGAAUAUUUUUACAAUAAAUAUUUGAAUCUACUAGUUAUACAUCCUUACAUAAGUCAGUUAUCUCUCUGGAACUCAGUUUAAAACAAGAGGAUUAGACUGCUGAAUCUGACUUCCCUUCCGAUACUGACUUUUUGAAUUUACUACCGCGACCUCUACCUUGUAUUUGUAGAGAUUUUAACCAUUGACAUAAAUUAUUUUAUUUUUUCAUUAAAAAAACCAUUGAGUCAAGAAGCAAUACCUGGAGUUCCUGCUGUGGCACAACGGAAUCGGCAGCAUCUCUGCAGCACCUCUGCAGCACCAGAAUGCAGGUUUAAUCCCCAGCCUAGCACAGGGGGUUAAAGGAACUAGCAUUGCCAUAGCUUCAGCGUAGGUCACAACUGCAGCUUGCAUUUGACCCUUGGCCUGGGAACUCCAUGU